rnacentral:rRNA from 1 species
CACGUAGGGCGCAAGCGUUGUCCGGAAUUAUUGGGCGUAAAGAGCUCGUAGGUGGUCCGCUGCGUCCGCUGUGAAAUCCCAGGGCUUAACCCUGGGCUUGCAGUGGAUACGGGCAGACUAGAGGUAGGUAGGGGAGAAUGGAAUUCCCGGUGUAGCGGUGAAAUGCGCAGAUAUCGGGAGGAACACCGGUGGCGAAGGCGGUUCUCUGGGCCUUACCUGACACUGAGGAGCGAAAGCGUGGGGAGCGAACAGG